UCCCAACUUCGGUUAUAAGAUCCCUCAAAGAUGAUGAGGUUAAUAGGUUCGAGGUGGAAGCGUGGUGACACGUGGAGCUGACGAAUACUAAUCGAUCGAAGACUUAAUCAAA
rnacentral:rRNA from 3 species